rnacentral:tRNA from 1 species
UGCGGGGUAGAGCAGUGGUAGCUCAUUGGGCUCAUAACCCAAAGGUCGGAGGUUCGAUCCCUUCCCCCGCCA